rnacentral:misc_RNA from 1 species
GUGAAUCAUCGAAUUUUUGAACGCAAAUUGCGCUUCCUGGCAUCCCGGGAAGUAUGCCUGUUUCAGUGUCAGUUAAAUAAAAAUCGGUGUUGUUGCUUCUUUUCGUGGUGACGCUGCGGUAUUGAGUUGUCUUACCUUCGGUUAUGUUACUUAAAAUUUUGCAUGCUUUUCGAACGUAUUUAAAUUUCUUAUUUACUUUUGAGAUAUCGAAUACUUUAUUAGUUUCGGACAUCCUCAUGAUUCGCACGUAUAAUUUUUCAUUAAAUGA